rnacentral:rRNA from 1 species
AGAAUCAACGCUGGCGGCGUGCCUAACACAUGCAAGUCGAACGAGAAAGUGGAGCAAUCCAUGAGUAAAGUGGCGACCGGGUGAGUAACACGUGACUAACCUACCUUCGAGUGGGGGAUAACCUCGGGAAACCGGGGCUAAUACCGCAUAAUAUCCACGGAUCAAAGGAGCAAUUCGCUUGAAGAGGGGGUCGCGGCUGAUUAGUUAGUUGGCGGGUAAUGGCCCACCAAGACAAUGAUCGGUA